rnacentral:rRNA from 1 species
GAUGAACGCUGGCGGCGUGCCUAAUACAUGCAAGUCGAGCGGACAGACGAGUAGCUUUCUCCUCUGUCGUUAGCGGCGGACGGGUGAGUAACACGUGGAUAACCUACUUAUAAGACUUGGAGAACUUCGGGAAGCCGGAGCGAAUACCGGAUAAUAUAUUGAACCUCAUGGUUCAAUAGUGAAAGACGGUUUUGCUGUCACUUAUGGAUGGAUCCGCGCCGCAUUAGCUAGUUGGUGAGGGAACGGCCUACCAAGGCAACGAUGCGUAGCCGCCCGGAGAGGAUGAUCGGCCACCAUGGAACUGAGACAAGGUCCCGACUCCUCCGGGAGGCAGCAGUAGGGAAGAUUACGCAAUAGGCGAAAGACUGACGGAGCAACGCCGCGUGAGUGAUGAAGGUCUUCGGCUCGUAAAGCACUUUUAUUAGGGAAGAACAAAUGCGUAAGUAACUAUGCACGUGUUGACGGUACCUAAACAGAAAGCCCCGGCUAACUACGUG